UGACCAUUCCUUACAUAUGAGGGGAAUCAAGGCCAGACGGACAGCCGGGUCAACUGCCGA
rnacentral:sRNA from 1 species